UUGCUAUCUGCUAUCUGGAUUAUUCGAACCUGCAGCAGGUUCGAGCCGAACGCAGUGAGGCACCGGAGCCGUUUACGGCGACGGCCCGAAGGGCGAGCGAAGCGAGUCAUCCUGCACGACCCACCA
rnacentral:sRNA from 1 species